UCUUUCAUUGUUUGUCCCUAGCAAGUGGAAAUACCCUCCAGGUGUAGUGCGUGGGUUGGCAGGUGGAUCUUUAAAAGGCAUCUUGUGUUUUUCUGGAGUCAUUCACCGAUGUUCACAUCAGACAGAAGCUCUAUAAUUUAUCAAGCUCUUCGGGUUUCUGACACUGUGGAAGCUUCAGGAUGUCCUGCCUGUGGAUGUGUUUGAGUCUGCUCUACGCUGCUUCUUUUCCACAAAGUACAUUGCAGAAAGGAGUGUCACUGAAGUGCAACCAAACAGUGGUAGCUGAAGCUGGAGAAACGGUGACACUAAACUGCACUAUAUACAAUGAGUUGACAGAGGACUGUGAUCUCGUUAAUUAUUCCUGGAAUAACGCACACGGUGGACUGGAUUCUAACUCAACAUACACCUGUAAAUCGGAUAAUCGGACCUAUGUGUCACUGACCAUCUGGAAUGUUUCGAAAGAGGAAACUUACAGUGUUUUUAUAAUCACAAACUGUGGUGGGGAUAGCUCAUCUAUCAAAGUACUGCCUGAUAAUGUGAGAUCAGCAACAAAGCCUAAGCCCGGAACUGAGGAGCCUUCCAAAAUUCUUGUGACAACCGCCAUAUUGAGUGUUUUCAUCCCCAUGGUUGUUUUUGGCAUUUUGUGUAUGGUUGGAACUAAGAGAUGCAAAAACAUAAUCAGAACCAUCAAAACGGGAAAAUCUCACAGACCCCUCACACCGGAGUACUCGACGAGCUCUGAAAUUUUUGUUUAAGCAUCUGUUCAGUUAUUCCUCUCCACAGCUGGCUGGGUUCUUUUUUUUUUCUUCAUCUUUGUACAUAUUGAUAAAUGUGAAUAUGAUGAUUUGGUCUGGUUGAAGAGUACUACUCCAUUUGUGAAAACUGUUGUAUAAAGUCUUCUGUGGCUCUGAGGGCAGCUCUCUUAAUUCCAACAAUCCUUUAACAUUGUCAGACUCACAGUGGGCCGUUUUUUUUUUUUUGUUUUCUUUUUUUAAUAUAACAAUUGAUGCAACAGAACCAGAGAUAUCACCCCACCUCAUUCCACACAUACGUCUUCCAUGUCAAAACUUGGCAACCCACAAUGCAACUCAACCGCACACAGUAGUGCACACAGUGUAGCCUCUAGUCUGUGGCAGGAUGAGGAGUGGGCUACAGAGGUCUGCUAAGCUUACUCCUUUCAAACUCCACGCCCUCAGAUUAUUUUCAUUUUCAAACUUGUAACUCUGAUGUGUAAAAUCGACGUAGUUACCCUUUAAAGCAGCAACCAGGAGCUUUCAUUUUGUGGGGAAUCUUGCGGCCCCUGUGGACAUAAGUGAUAGUGUUUCUACCGCCUUGUUUCACUGAUUUCCUUCCAGUGGGAAUCCAACUGAAUCCGACCCAGUGGCAGGUAUUAAGAAUAACUACAUCGAAAUAAUUAAACUUCUCACUGAUGUUUGUUUACGUAGCUCAGUGGUUCUCAAACUUUUUCAUUAACGUACCCUAUUUGAAAUAUUUUUUUCAGCCCAGUACCCCCUCACCAGUGCAAAAAGAGGUAUAAUACAGCGCAACCAGAGAUCAAACUCUUUUUGAAUAUAAAAUCUAACGAACAUAGAUUUACAUUUUUAUUAAACUUAUUCUAGUAUCAUUAUUUUGAGAAUUUUGCAUGACUAAUAUUUUUUAAAUGAACAUAAAGAAAAAGAAAAUCUCACGCACCCCCUGCAGUACGCCUAUAGGGGUACGCAUACCCCCGUUUGAGGAACACUGAUCCAGGUCUUUAAACUGAGACUUGGAGACGACAAGAAACUGCAAUCAUCAUAACCUUUGAAACAUGGGCAUUUAUCAAGUAGCGGAAGACUAGUAAAAGACACUAUUGAGUUGCAUUGUGGGAAAUGUAGGAUAAAGAGACCUGCUGAUUUUUAUCACUUUUUUGAAUUUGCUACUAACAAGUCUACAACUUUAUGGGUGUGCAGUAAAAGGCCUUUCAAAGCCACUCAACGUAUUCUACAAAAAAAAGUAGAAAGUAACUGUGAUAUUGUUGACUGUAAAAUGAGUGUUUGAUAUAAUAUGCAGAAUAUACCGGGUGUGUAGAUUAUGACUAACUGAGCCAUGAGCAAUGGAACAUAUCUUUGAAUAAAGGGUUGUCACUA